UACGUAGGGUGCAAGCGUUGUCCGGAAUUAUUGGGCGUAAAGAGCGUGUAGGCGGCCAGGUAGGUCCGUUGUGAAAACUCGAGGCUCAACCUCGAGACGCCGAUGGAAACCAUCUGGCUAGAGUCCGGAAGAGGAGAGUGGAAUUCCUGGUGUAGCGGUGAAAUGCGCAGAUAUCAGGAAGAACACCCGUGGCUAAGGCGGCUCUCUAGUACGGAACUGACGCUGAGACGCGAAAGCGUGGGGAGCGAACAGG
rnacentral:rRNA from 1 species